GUGGGGAAUUUUGGACAAUGGGCGAAAGCCUGAUCCAGCAAUGCCGCGUGUGUGAAGAAGGCCUUCGGGUUGUAAAGCACUUUUGUCCGGGAAGAAAUCUUCCAGGUUAAUACCCUGGGAGGCUGACGGUACCGGAAGAAUAAGCACCGGCUAACUUCGUGCCAGCAGCCGCGGUAAUACGAAGGGUGCAAGCGUUACUCGGAAUUACUGGGCGUAAAGCGUGCGUAGGUGGUUCGUUAAGUCUGCCGUGAAAGCCGCGGGCUCAACCUGGGAAUGGCGGUGGAUACUGGCGGGCUAGAGUGCGGUAGGGGGUGGUGGAAUGCCCGGUGUAGCAGUGAAAUGCGUAGAGAUCGGGAGGAACAUCUGUGGCGAAGGCGGCCACCUGGACCAGCACUGACACUGAGGCACGAAAGCGUGGGGAGCAAACAGGAUUAGAAACCCCUGUAGUCC
rnacentral:rRNA from 1 species